AUCUCUCGGCCUUUUGGCUAAGAUCAGGUGUCUAUCUAUUCUUACCAGUUUAAUAUUUGAUGUGCCCUCUAUCUGAGGACAAUAGAGCAAACAGAUUGGGGAUCUGGAAGAUGGGAUCGGAGCUUGCACCAUAUAUUCCAUGAGCUGAGGUUACAACAUCUCUGGUGUUGGUACACCCCUU
ensembl:snRNA LOC120096392 U2 spliceosomal RNA